rnacentral:misc_RNA from 1 species
GAUGAAGAACGUAGCGAAAUGCGAUAAGUAAUGUGAAUUGCAGAAUUCAGUGAAUCAUCGAAUCUUUGAACGCACAUUGCGCCCUCUGGUAUUCCGGGGGGCAUGCCUGUUCGAGCGUCAUUAUAACCACUCAAGCUCUCGCUUGGUAUUGGGGUUCGCGGUUCCGCGGCCCCUAAAAUCAGUGGCGGUGCCUGUCGGCUCUACGCGUAGUAAUACUCCUCGCGAUUGAGUCCGGUAGGUCUACUUGCCAGCAACCCCCAAUUUUUACAGGUUGACCUCGGAACAGGUAGGGAUACCCGCUGAACUUAAGCAUAUCAAUAAGCGGAGGA